rnacentral:rRNA from 1 species
GAUGAACGCUAGCUACAGGCUUAACACAUGCAAGUCGAGGGGUAACAAGAGAAAAGCUUGCUUUUCUUGUUGACGACCGGCGCACGGGUGAGUAACGCGUAUCCAACCUGCCUAUAACUAGGGAAUAACCUUGCGAAAGUAAGACUAAUACCCUAUGAUUUCCUUUGAUGACAUCAGAUUAGGAAUAAAGAUUUAUCGGUUAUAGAUGGGGAUGCGUCUGAUUAGCUUGUUGGCGGGGUAACGGCCCACCAAGGCAACGAUCAGUAGGGGUUCUGAGAGGAAGGGCCCCCACAUUGGAACUGAGACACGGUCCAAACUCCUACGGGAGGCAGCAGUGAGGAAUAUUGGUCAAUGGGCGGAAGCUUGAACCAGCCAAGUAGCGUGCAGGAUGACGGCCCUAUGGGUUGUAAACUGCUUUUAUACAGGAAUAAAGUUAGCCACGUGUGGUUAUUUGUAGGUACUGUAUGAAUAAGGACCGGCUAAUUCCGUGCCAGCAGCCGCCGUAA